CAGGCCUAACCUCCCACCCGUGAAUACCUGACCAACGUUGCUUCGGCGGUGCGCCCCUCCGGGGGCAGCCGCCGGAGACCACACCGAACCUCUUGUUUAAGCCUGUUGUCUGAGCUUGAUAGCAAAUCUAUUAAAACUUUCAACAAUGGAUCUCUUGGUUCCGGCAUCGAUGAAGAACGCAGCGAACUGCGAUAAGUAAUGUGAAUUGCAGAAUUCAGUGAAUCAUCGAGUCUUUGAACGCACAUUGCGCCCCCUGGCAUUCCGGGGGGCAUGCCUGUCCGAGCGUCAUUGCUGCCCUUCAAGCCCGGCUUGUGUGUUGGGUCGUCGUCCCCCCCCGGGGGACGGGCCCGAAAGGCAGCGGCGGCACCGCGUCCUGGUCCUCGAGCGUAUGGGGCUUUGUCACCCGCUCGAUUAGGGCCGGCCGGGCGCCAGCCGACGUCUCCAACCUUUUAUUUUACCAGGUUGACCUCGGAUCAGGUAGGGAUA
rnacentral:misc_RNA from 1 species